UUGCGGUCAUGUUACGUUGAAGCACCGGUUCUCGGAUGAUCAAUAAAGUUAAGCAACGUCGAGCCAGGUCAGUACCUAGAUGGGUGACCGCUUCGGAAUACCAGGUGUUC